AUUCACGGCAGCUGAGCACAUGUACGCCUCCAAACCAACUCCUUGGUUAAUAAUUGCGGCUGCACAGACCGAGUGGAGCUCGGCCAGUGAGAAAGGAUCGAUCGAUGGCCGUCGGCGAGGCAGCAGCGCCGUUGCUGGAGAAGAAGGCGGCGGUGUACCAUGAGGGGUGCCCGGGCUGCGUUGUGGAGCAGAGGAAGGUGAUCAACCCCGGCGUCCCCUACAAGCAAUUCUUCCACAUCUGGAUCAUCAUCCUCGUCUCAAGUUUGCCAAUAUCGUCGCUAUUCCCCUUCUUGUAUUUUAUGAUUCGAGACUUGCAUGUUGCCAAAACAGUAGAGGAUAUUGGAUUCUAUGCUGGGUUUGUAGGAGCCUCCUAUAUGCUUGGUAGAGCUUUAACCUCUACUGCUUGGGGGAUGGUAGCAGAUCGUAUCGGGAGAAAGCCAGUUAUUGUGUUCGGAAUUUUCUCCGCGUUUCUAUUCAAUCUUUUGUUCGGAUUAAGUGUUCGAUACUGGAUGGCAAUAUCUACACGAUUUCUCAUUGGUUCAAUGAAUGGUUUAAUUGGCCCUAUAAGGGCUUAUGCUAUUGAAGUUUGUCGACCAGAGCACCACCCUAUUGCAUUGUCACUUGUUAGCACAGCAUGGGCAAUAGGUCUCAUUGUUGGGCCAACAAUUGGUGGAUAUCUUGCACAGCAGAAAAAUAUCCAAAGUUAUUUCCCGCUGAGUCAUUAUUCGGAAGGUUCCCAUAUUUCUUACCUUGUUUGUGUAUAUCAGGCUUCUGCUUUGUUGUUCUUAUAAGCUCCAUUUGGCUCCCGGUAUGUACAAUUAAUCAACAUUGUUUUCAUUGAUUUAAAAUAAGCAUGUGAGACAAUAAUAGUAUGUGGUUAAUGAAAAAUGAAAUGCAUAAAAGUUAAAGCGUUGAGAAAUAAACACUACUACCUCAAACCCCUAAAUCAAAUGGCUUGAAACCACAUCCGAGAUGGAUAUAUAUAUCUGGCGUUGGUGUUAGGUGGUAAGUUACACCCUUGUCCUUCACCAUGUGAGUAGUAGGUUCACCUUGUCUUCUGUAUUAAUAAAUAACUAAAAAUAUGUAAAAAAAAAUUAGGACAUAUUACAUGAACACAAACCACGAUAAAAUACUUUCUAUUGCUUCAAGGGAAUGUUGAAUUAUAAUGCUUAUCAAUUUACAUUCCUCAUUUUUAUAGUAAACAAAUCCAUGCAAAAAAUAACAUGCUCUAGCUGAUUUACUAGAUCCCAAAAGCUCACUCGAUUGGGUCCUAAUAUGUUGCACUAGUAUAAUACCAGUAAUGCAUAGUAAGGCCGGGUCGGACAUGCAUUUAU